rnacentral:rRNA from 1 species
AGAGUUUGAUCCUGGCUCAGGAUGAACGCUGGCGGCGUGCUUAACACAUGCAAGUCGAACGGACUCAUAUUGAAACCUAGUGAUUUAUGAGUUAGUGGCGGACGGGUGAGUAACGCGUGGAUAACCUGCCGUAUACCGGGGGAUAACACUUAGAAAUAGGUGCUAAUACCGCAUAAGCGCACGGCUCCGCAUGGGGCAGUGUGAAAAACUCCGGUGGUAUACGAUGGAUCCGCGUCUGAUUAGCUAGUUGGCGGGGUAACGGCCCACCAAGGCAGCGAUCAGUAGCCGGCCUGAGAGGGUGGACGGCCACAUUGGGACUGAGACACGGCCCAAACUCCUACGGGAGGCAGCAGUGGGGAAUAUUGCACAAUGGGGGAAACCCUGAUGCAGCGACGCCGCGUGAGUGAAGAAGUAUCUCGGUACGUAAAGCUCUAUCAGCAGGGAAGAAAAUGACGGUACCUGACUAAGAAGCCCCGGCUAACUACGUG